rnacentral:rRNA from 1 species
UACGUAGGGGGCAAGCGUUGUCCGGAAUUGUUGGGCGUAAAGCGCGCGCAGGCGGUCAUUUAAGUCUGGUGUUUAAUCCUGGGGCUCAACCCCAGUUCGCAUCGGAAACUGGAUGACUUGAGUGUAGGAGAGGAAAGUGGAAUUCCACGUGUAGCGGUGAAAUGCGUAGAGAUGUGGAGGAACACCAGUGGCGAAGGCGACUUUCUGGCCUAUAACUGACGCUGAGGCGCGAAAGCGUGGGGAGCAAACAGG